rnacentral:rRNA from 1 species
CAGUCGCCGCGGUAAUACGAAGGGGGCUAGCGUUGUUCGGAAUUACUGGGCGUAAAGCGCACGUAGGCGGACAUUUAAGUCAGGGGUGAAAUCCCGGGGCUCAACCCCGGAACUGCCUUUGAUACUGGGUGUCUAGAGUAUGGAAGAGGUGAGUGGAAUUCCGAGUGUAGAGGUGAAAUUCGUAGAUAUUCGGAGGAACACAAGUGGCGAAGGCGGCUCACUGGUCCAUUACUGACGCUGAGGUGCGAAAGCGUGGGGAGCAAACAGGAUUAGAUACCCCCGUAGUCCCUGUCUCUUAUAC